UCCGGCGUAGCUCAAUGUUAGAGCAGGUGGCAGUUAACCACAUCCGUACAGGUUCGAACCCUGUCGCCGGAG
rnacentral:tRNA from 1 species